GUAAUUAGAUUUAUUUAUUUAUUUAUCUUUAAUAGGAGUACUGGGGAUUGAACCCAGGACCUUGUGCAUAGUAAGCACAUGCUCUACCACUGAGCUAUACUCUCCCUCUACUGGGUAAUGUUUCUUGAAUGACUGUCAUUAGCUUUUGUCACUACCCCCCACCCCCUACCCCAGCAGACACUUGCUCUCACUGUCUUCUCGGCAGGUCUUUUUCCCUCCCUUCAUAAGGUCUUUUGAGGCUGCUUCAGCCUUCUCUAGAGUGCACCUUUCCCUGAACCACUACUGCAUUGAAAUCCCCACCCUACAGGUUAACAUAUGUACUCUGAUAUUUUUUGUGCAGAUUUUGACCUCCCAACCAGAUUACAAAUUCUGGCUAGAUUUUAAAACUCUGUUUCCCACAGUUUCAGAGCAACAGUGUAAUUCUGAGGUUAAUUUCUGAAUGCUCUCACCACUUUUAUUUUCUGGAACAAAUUCUUCAUAUAUGUUAAUGACUGUUAAUGACCUGAUGCCGCCUUCUCUCUAUUAUGAUACAUAAACAUCAGUGUAACACAUAUUACAGCCCCUUCUCCCCAUCAGCCCUGCUGGCUUAACCCCCUCUGGAGGCUCUCCUCCUCAGGUAAAGCGGGCCCGGGCCCGUGCACAGCUCCUGUUCAGUCUGUCAUCCUAUCUUACACUUCCUUCCAGCUCUGGGGUCCCCAGACCUAUGCCCGCUGCCUGGUGUCUCCCCUCCCCUUCCCCCUUUCCUGCUUUGCCUGUCUCUGGUCCUUCAGGUCUCCUAAGUGCUUGACAAACAUCCCUACCCUGUGCGAACACUUCGCUUUUAAUUUAAGUUGUGUUGUUUCUUGUCUAAUUCCCAUCUACAUUUUAAGUGGCUUUAGGAUAGAAACAGUUUAUAAUUCAUUUGUCACUUUUUUGGGAGGGAAGCAUAAAGAAAAGUGUUUCGCGCAUAAGUUCUUAAUAAACAUUUCUUUAGUACUGAGUAUGCAAAUAAUUCUUUGUCCCAAAUGAGUGAGUUUUUAAUGUGGUAUAUCAAGCGCUUCAGCAAGUCCAUUAGAGGACAUACUUUAGAGGUGGGGGGACUGUUUUUCUCAAAUCCCACUGGGAGUAGAUUAUCUGUGCCUUGAUUCAAUCUUGGAUAUCUUUCAACCAAACUGCAGAGGAGAGGAAGAGAGAAAAUAACUCUUCCUUCCAGUCCUUGCCUUCUCACAAAUGGAUACAAACCUUCCAUAGGGUGUGGUAUUUUGGAAUCUGCAACAUUGGAACUGGUGGCUCAUUAUUCUCAGGAAAUUAUGGUUAAGGGAAAUGAGAGUGGCUCUGAUUGCUGGUGUUAAAGCGUACAUGUCUACAAUCAGUGUACAUCCCAGAAUCUUCACCCCAUCUUCACCUCUACCUAACGUGGCCCCUAAGGCAAAAGCUGUUUAUCAUUAUACUUCAGCCCCCUCAGAUUGACUAUUACUUAGGGUUGUCCAGUCAAAGAACUCUGUGCCAGGAAAAAUGAGGAGACGUGGGUUGCAGCUCUAGCUUUGAUUCUAGCUUUAGGAUUAAGGGGGUCUUUCCCUACUUUGGGUCCCAUUUAACAAAUCUCCCAGUAGAGAAAGUAGGACUGCAUUAUCUUGCUACAGUGCCUUCAAAUUUUCCUCCUGAUACUCAUUUUUAACCUGAUUUCACUGAAACAAAAAGGGAGAAAAGAGUAAGAGAGAGAAAAGAAAAAUAGUAGGGGUGUUUGGUAAAAUCAUGGUUUGUGGAUUUAUGUGUGAUGGUGAUUUUGUCUCAGGAACUACAUUCCCUGGAAGUGACAAGUGCAGAUUCCAUUGAUGUGAUCCAGCAGGCUCCUCCCACUGGACUGGGGAUCCUCUAGAUCAGCACAUUGUUUGGAAAAAAGCAUGAGUAAUCUCAGAGGGUGAUUUGUGAGAAAUGAAGACAAUUGGUUUAAAGUAACUCACUUUGUUCAUCCUUUUUGUCACCCCUCAUUCAUAUCAGCCUGCUCAAAAGUUGUUAUUCCAGUGUACUUUAAAACAAUAUCUGAAUUUCUAGGUAAUUAAACAGUAGAGAUCAUUUUAAUCUCUUCACUGGUAUAUUAGUUUUUGAUCACUGGAAAAGGCCAGCUGACUUUUCAUUUUCUAACUUACAUGGCAUCUACCAAUGGGAAUGUGUUCUCUAGGCAAAACCACAGGGAGUCUUAAAACACUGCAUUUUAAAUAAUAACCUUUGCCAGAACAAUAAUCUUCACUGCCCUAAAACACUAUUGGUUUUAUCCUAGAAUUAUUUAGUUUAAUUACUUUUAAAAGUGCCAUAUGUGUUCCUAGCUGGAAAAAAAAAUCAGAAAUUAUAGUUAAGUAAAAAGUAUAUAACACCCAUCCAGGUAGAGACAACCACUUUAACAUGUUUCUCUCUCCCUAUCAGACUUCUACAUUUAUUAUAUAUAUAUAUGACUUUUACAUUUAUUAUAUAAAUGUGACUGCACUGUUCUACUAUCCUUCAACUUCCUUUUUUUCAUAUUAGUGUUUCACUAAUAUCUUUCUAUGUCAGUACAUACAGAUCCUCCAAAAGUUCCAGAUUUGGAGUGAGACAUCUUAUGUUUGGGGCCACUUAACCUCUCUAUAUCUACGUCAAAGCAUUGUUGAAAGGAUUGGAUGAGAUACUGCAUGUAAGUCAGUUUUGCCAGUGGAACUCAAUAAAGCUGCCAUCUUGGGACUUGGGGUCCACUUUGAGCACAAGUUGACACAACUGGAGGAGACAGCAGCUUUAAACAUUGCCUUCCUUCUACAUAGGACUUUACAGGCACAGUGUACAACUUCAGUUCUUGUGCUAAAAGCACUCUGAGUUAUUGUUUUAUGAUUGUCUCUUGAGGCUGAGGGAAGAUGUUACUGGUAGUCUGAAAGAAUGGGUUUUUAUAUAGGCAUUUAGUUUUCUUUCCGUAUAGUCCCAAAUUAAAACAAGGUUUGCCCCAUUUUCUAUUUUUCUUUAAAAAAACUCUCCUUACCCACAUUAACAAAACAACAUACUGACUAUGGCUGUGACUUUGGCUUUGACUGCUUUAAGUUUAGCUACAACUUGGAUCUCUCUCUCAUACUGUGUCCAGGCGUGAGUCAAAUUCGGUUACAGUGACAGCAUUUAACUUCUAGUUAUAAAAAAAAUUAUUUGUCCCCCAAAGUGUUAAACUGAAUGGCGAUACAAUUUAUUGAUAUAUUUAGUUGUUUUUUAAAACUAGUUGAUAAGAAUAUAAAAAGAAAUGUACUGUUCUUAGCAAUUACUGAAAUAAGCAAAACAUUUAAAUUGAUGAGGGCCCUGAACAGUCAAGAAAAAAAAAUGCAUAUAAAUUCAACUUACAGAAGUGGAGAUUUGGGGCAUUAAACGUUAUUACUAUUACUCAUGGUAAUAUUAUUGUUCCUGGGCUACAGAAAUAAGAUGCUCUUUAUUUUUUAAAAAGUCUAAAAAAUACAGAGAAAUACAAAAAAGAAAGUAAAAACAGCUCAAAUCCAACUUCUGAGAUUGUUACAGUUCGGAGAGAUUAGGGAAAUUGCCAGAGAGUGACAGUUUGGAUUCAAACCUAGGCUUAACUAUAAACCACAUGCUUUUUUUUUUUAAACCAUUCUCUUGUUACCUUUCCAUUAUCACUGCAAACUAUACUCAUUGGGCGCUAGAUCAACAAAUGUACUUUGAUUUGAAGAGGACUGAAUAUGGAAUAUUCUGGUGAGACUUAACAUGGACAUAAACAUAGACAGAAAAGAAAAUGUUAAAAUGUUCACACAAACUGGAAGCCUGGGCUUGGGUCCAGUUAUUCAUACACUAGAAUAAAUGUCUGAGUUGUGUUGGGAUUACAUGGUCAGUUCUAAUCUGCUCAAUUUCAUUGACAUGCGCUCUUGUACUGGAUACCGUGUGAGGUAUUUUAUAUACAGCAUUUCUUCCCAGUAACUCUGCAAGUUAGGCAUUUUUGGUGCCUACUUAAAGAUGGGAAAACUGGAGGUCAAAUAGGUGUGGAGGCUUGUUCUGGCACAUGAUGGAGCUGAGGUAUGUAUCCAGGUCUGCGCCCCAAAGUUGUAUAUCUGUGAUAUCUGAACAAUACCUACCUGUUCCCCAUCCUCAAGUUACUGAGAGUCUAAUAGGAUAUGAGAUAAUUACAGAAAUAACUAGAACAUAAGGAACAAUAUAAAAGAAACCAUCCAAAGAUACAAAGAGAGCGUUAUGAGAAUUCAGAUUCAGAGACACAUAGCUAGAUAUGUGCGGGAGUUAGGAGUACGAGGAGAUAAGAGCAGGAAAACACUUCCAUUAAAAGCCUGGAUGGGAGAAGAGACUUAAAGAAAGGAUAAAGUGGGUAUGAUGAAGGUUGACUAGAACAAAGGGGAAUCAAGAAGAGGCAGUAAGAAAUCUAAUGUGUUGGCUGCCAGAAGGUGUGAGUAGGAAGUGGGGAGAGAUCAAGUUAGAAAGGGGAAUUUGGCUAUAACAUUGAGGGUUUGGAGCUCAAGGGGAGGAGUUUGUCCCUAGUUCACCAAGCAGUGAGGCUCACUAGAAAGUUUCUGAGUGGAGGGAGACCUUAGGAAGAUUGAUUAGGCAGUAGUGUGGAGAGGAAGGAUGUCAAUUCAUUGAAAGGCAAUUCCCUUGGCUUUCAGUGAGAUACAUAUUACUGUCUUUAUUUUAAGGAUGAAGAACCGAGGCUCAUAGGUGCUAAGUAGCUCACCCCAGCGCAUAGUAAACAGAAGAGCCAGGACUUGAAUCAAGUCCCUCCAGCUCCAGAGCCUUACUCGGUCCACCAGGCCUAACUACUCCAAGUGAGGUCUGUAGACCCGCAGCAUCGGCCCCAUAGGCCACAUGAGAGCUCAUUAGAAACGCAGACCUGCUGAAUCAGAAUCUGUGUUUUUGCAUAAUAUAUACACAUUAAGGUACGAGGCCACAUUUUUUCCCUUUAUGAUGACCUGUAUAAUUACUGGAAAUAUCAUUUAGUUGGCUGCAAAUCCAGUUGUUUAGGGAGUAUAUUAGGUAGUUCCCUCACAUAAAAGAUAAGAAAUACUAAGAAAAGGGGACCUGAAUUUUGUUCUCACUGGCAAACAAGUCAGGAAUUUAAAAACUGAAAUUGUAACUAGCUGUUUGGCCUUGGGCAAGUCACUUAACCUCUUUGAAUUUUAGUUUUCUCACCUGCAUAAUACUUAGCCUGUAAGAAUCAAAUGAGAUGGUAUCUAUGGAAAGAGCUCAUACACUGGAAAUCAUUAUAAAUAUAUGAAGUGCUGUUUUUAGGAGACAUAACUCUGAAAUGCCUUAUUUCAAAAAAAAAAAAAAAGGAAGGGGAGAGGGAGAAAAGGAAAGAAGGAAGAAAGGAAGGCUAAAAAAAGAGUCAGGGAUAAUACACAAAAGUUAACUGAAGGAAAACCAGCUUCACUGAAACAGGGGCAUGGAGAACUGAUGGGGAAAAUCCCUACGGAGAAAUCUAACUUCUGUUUCAUAUAGUGGCUCUAAAAUCAAUAAGUUAAAUCCAGCUCCUGCUGUCCUCCUAUAUAUGCCCCAGAAGUGGGAUUGCUGGAUCAUAUGGUUUUUGGACAGAGCCAUAUAGAAAGUCUUGUCUGUGGACAUUUCAGAAUUUGAAAGCUGCCUGUCUAGAGCGUACUGAUGGGGCCAGAGCUUCCUUCACUACUGAGUGCCAGAUAUGCUCUGCCAAGCACUUGGGAUAAAAGCAUGAGCAGGCAUGGACCUGACCUCAGGAGAGCAGGAGGCUGCCAUGCAGUGGCAAGAUUGGAGCAGGCCUCAUCUGUCUCCAGGGAACCACUGCCUGUUCCUGAGCAGAAGGGAAAAUGAGGCUUGAAGAUGAGGCUUGGAGAAGGCGAGAAAUAUGCAUGGCAUUCCCAACUUACAUGGAACUCUAAAAGACACAGCAGAUAAAGGCAAGAGAGUUGGAUAUUUUCUCCAGAAACAUUGGCAGUCUGAGUUCCCCGAAUCCUGUCUCAAUCCCAAACUGAAGGGACCGUCUUCCUGAGGCACCUAUUCAAAACUGCUGCCAGCUUGGUUGCUUCUACUGAAUUGAACAGUUAAUGACAGGUUGGUCGGGAGGCGAUGAACCUGUUUGAGCUUACUGAUCAUUAACCAAGAGUCAAGUUUUGUGCAUAGGCAAGCAAAGCAUGAAUGAUGGAAGGAACUCAGUCUUGUCUUUUUUUGUUUGUUUGUUUUAGGUCACAGUAAAGGAAGCCAUUUGACUUCACUGUGGUAGUUUUGAAUUAUGUAUAGAAUGGUUAGGAUUGUGGGUUUUGGAAUCCUAAAGACCUGCUUUCAGACUUUGAUCCUGCUCACUAGCUGUGUGAGUUUGGGUAAAUUACAUAACCUGUCUGAUUUUUCAGCUUCUCAAUUAUGAAAUGGGAGCAUCACCAAGCUGUACUAUAGUGUUACUGUGAGGAUUAAAUGAGAUAAUGCAUGUAGAGCACCCUAGCACAGUGCCUAGAAUAGAAAGCACUUAAAAAUUAACAUUUAGUUAUUAUGAGCAUAAUUGUUUGAAAUUAGAAUAGUCAAAUUACCUUCAAUUUCCAUUUCACACGAUGAAAUGUUUUAAGAACUAAUUAUCUUUUUUCUUUAACAUAUUCCAAAAUAAUAACAAAAAUUAAAAGAAAAGCCUUUCUGCACACCUAUCCCUACAUGAAAACUGAGAAAAGGUUAGCGAUAUCCCUGGGUAGUAGCCAUCCCGAGGUGCUACUCUGGUUUAUUCAGAUGUUUCUCAGCGGCGCAAAAGUUGGAAUUGGUGAGGUGGGUCACACAUGUCUUCAGAAUGUCUUCAGAAACUUCUGGGGUGAUGGCAGAGACAGAUCUGACUAAUGUUUGUUUAGCACAACCUCAUAUUCUGGUAGAAUCAAGACAGUAAAAAAUCAAGCAUGAAAAAUAAAAAUAAAAAUAACAACAUAAAAGUAAGUUCAUUUUGAUAAUUUAGUAUGUAUCUAUUU